rnacentral:rRNA from 1 species
GGCCUAAUACAUGCAAGUCGAGCGGCAAGUUGAGUAGUAAUACUUAACCUAGAGCGGCGCACGGGUGCGUAACGCGUAUGCAACCUACCUUUUACUGGGGGAUAGCCCGGAGAAAUCUGGAUUAAUACCCCAUGGUAUCUACGAAUCGAUUGGUUUGUAGCUUAAAGAUUUAUCGGUAAGAGAUGGGCAUGCGUCUGAUUAGCUAGUUGGCGGGGUAACGGCCCACCAAGGCGACGAUCAGUAGGGGUUCUGAGAGGAAGGUCCCCCACACUGGCACUGAGAUACGGGCCAGACUCCUACGGGAGGCAGCAGUAGGGAAUAUUGGGCAAUGGUCGCAAGACUGACCCAGCCAUGCCGCGUGCAGGAUGAAGGCCCUCUGGGUUGUAAACUGCUUUUAUCUGGGAAGAAAAAGUCCAUGCGUGGAAAAUUGCCGGUACCAGAUGAAUAAGCACCGGCUAACUCCGUGCCAGCAGCCGCGGUAAUACGGAGGGUGCAAGCGUUGUCCGGAUUUAUUGGGUUUAAAGGGUGCGUAGGCGGCUGAAUAAGUCAGCGGUGAAAGACUUCGGCUUAACCGGAGCAGUGCCGUUGAUACUGUUUAGCUUGAGUGUUGGAGGGGUACAUGGAAUUGAUGGUGUAGCGGUGAAAUGCAUAGAUACCAUCAGGAACACCGAUAGCGAAGGCAUUGUACUGGCCAACAACUGACGCUGAGGCACGAAAGUGUGGGGAUCGAACAGGAUUAGAUACCCUGGUAGUCCACACCGUAAACGAUGAUUACUCGCUGUUAUGCUGU